rnacentral:rRNA from 1 species
UACGUAGGGUCCAAGCGUUAUCCGGAUUUAUUGGGCGUAAAGCACAUGUAGGUGGUUUUACAAGUCUUGCCUUAAAGCUCCGAGCUCAACUCGGAAUCUGGGUGAGAUACUGUAAGGCUUGUGGUCAGCAGGGGCAAACGGAAUUCCCGGUGUAGGAGUGAAAUCCGUUGAUAUCGGGAGGAACACCAAUGGCGAAGGCAGUUUGCUAGGCUGAUUCAGACACUGAGAUGUGAAAGCGUGGGGAGCGAACGGG